GCAUAUAUUUUUAUAUGAGUAGCGAACGGGUGCGUAACACGUGAGAAUCUACCCAUAGCUUAUGGUUAAAUGCCAUAGAAUCUUAUAGAUUUAUAUAUAUAUCGGUUAUGGAUGAGCUUGCGUGGUAUUAGGUAGUUGGUGUGGUAAUGGCGCACCAAGCCCAAGAUGCCUAGCCGGUUUGAGAGAACGAUCGGCCACACUGGGACUGAGACACGGCCCAGACGCUUACGAGCGGCAGCAGUGGGGAAUAUUGGACAAUGGGCGAAAGCCUGAUCCAGUGAUAUCGCUUUGGGGAUGACGGCGACAU
rnacentral:rRNA from 1 species